CAGAAUCUUCAUUUCUUCCUUUUCUUGUUUACGAGCAUCAGGACCAGCUCAUCAUCACUCGACACUGACUUCAUCUUUUAAGGGAGAGAAAGAUGUGAGGAUUUUUGUGGGCAUCAUCCAAAUAUGGUCACUUCUGGAUCCAUGACAUUAACAGGGUUGCAUCAGGAAUUUUAACACUGAAGCUUCAAAAUGCAGAAUCAUUUCCUGUUCUUCUGAUCUGCAGCCGCCCCCUUUUAUCUAAGCACAUUCUAUUCUAAUUGUUGUUUUAUUCUACUCACACAUGUAAGAGGGCAUGUGAUGGCUUCAGAAUUCAGAGGUGGGGUAUUUACUGAUUUUAUGUUUUAUCAUUUAAAAUAAACCAGACUUUCUUCCAGGCAACUGACGGUGCAGCUGUCUUUAUGGAGGAAUCUAUGACAUACAGGCAGCCAAAAUAGAACUAAGAAGAGAGGACAUUCAGAAAAGUGUUACUGUUCCUGUGAGGACCUGUGGGAGGCGUGUCCCUGCUCCUGCUCCCAUUGGCACACCUGCUUCCCAUCAGCUCGUCUUCCUUCCGCCUUUUAAAGAUCGGCUCAGUUGUGCGCUCACCGCCAGAUCAUUGAAGCUUCUCAAGUGGCAACAAGCACGGACUCAGUAUGAUGUCAUGGAAAGAAGAUACCCCUAGCACAGCUCUGGCUGCAAAUUUUGCAUGGAGGUGUUCAUGAGCAGACAAAACAAAAAUAAAUGUGUUCCACAAAGAAAAAACACUUUAA